AAAAAAAAUAUUAAAAUAAUAAAGGUUGGAAUGGUUUAGUUAAUUUGUUGGUGAUUAUCACCUUCCCAAACUAAAAACUUUAGGUUUUCCCAUGCACUAGCAAAUCCAAUACUCUCAGACAAAAAGGUUGGUAAAAAAAUUAGUUUAUAUUAACCAUUGCAUGCAGACAGUCUCAUCCUAAUUAGCACAUACAUCAUGCCAUAGUGAUCAAGAUGCUGUUUGCACAAUGUUUCCCCAU
rnacentral:misc_RNA from 1 species